rnacentral:rRNA from 1 species
AACGAACGCUGGCGGCGUGGCUAAGACAUGCAAGUCGAACGGUAGGUUAUAGCAAUAUGGCCUAUAGUGGCGGACGGGUGAGUAAUAAAUAGGUAACGUACCCUGGGCACGGGGAUAGCGUCGUCCCGAGCAAUCGGGGCUUUGCGAAAGUGACGGUAAUACCCGGUAAUGUCUUCGAGUGGCAUCACUCGAAGACCAGAGGUGGGGACCUUCGGGCCUAUCGGCCUGGGAGCGGCCUAUUCCUANCAGCUAGUUGGUGAGGUAACGGCUCACCAAGGCUUCGACGGGUAACCGGACUGAGAGGUCGGCCGGUCACAUCGGGACUGAGACACUGCCCGGACAUCUACGGAUGGCUGCAGUAACGAAUAUUCCGCAAUGGGCGCAAGCCUGACGGAGCGACGCCGCGCGG